AUACAGGGGGUGCGAGCGUUAAUCGGAAUUACUGGGCGUAAAGAGUACGUAGGCGGUUGCUUAAGUCAGAUGUGAAAGCCCCGGGCUCAACCUGGGAACUGCAUUUGAAACUGAGUGACUAGAGUUUAAGAGAGGGGAGUAGAAUUCCGGGUGUAGCGGUGAAAUGCGUAGAGAUCCGGAGGAAUACCAGUGGCGAAGGCGGCUCCCUGGCUUAAAACUGACGCUGGGGUACGAAAGCGUGGGUAGCAAACAGGAUUAGAAACCCUAGUAGUCC
rnacentral:rRNA from 1 species